CGAGUGAAGCGGCAAAAGCUCAAAUUUGAAAUCUGGUACCUUCGGUGCCCGAGUUGUAAUUUGGAGAGGGCAACUUUGGGGCCGUUCCUUGUCUAUGUUCCUUGGAACAGGACGUCAUAGAGGGUGAGAAUCCCGUGUGGCGAGGAGUGCGGUUCUUUGUAAAGUGCCUUCGAAGAGUCGAGUUGUUUGGGAAUGCAGCUCUAAGUGGGUGGUAAAUUCCAUCUAAAGCUAAAUAUUGGCGAGAGACCGAUAGCGAACAAGUACAGUGAUGGAAAGAUGAAAAGAACUUUGAAAAGAGAGUGAAAAAGUACGUGAAAUUGUUGAAAGGGAAGGGCAUUUGAUCAGACAUGGUGUUUUGUGCCCUCUGCUCCUUGUGGGUAGGGGAAUCUCGCAUUUCACUGGGCCAGCAUCAGUUUUGGUGGCAGGAUAAAUCCAUAGGAAUGUAGCUUGCCUCGGUAAGUAUUAUAGCCUGUGGGAAUACUGCCAGCUGGGACUGAGGACUGCGACGUAAGUCAAGGAUGCUGGCAUAAUGGUUAUAUGCCGCCCGUCUUG
rnacentral:rRNA from 1 species